AGAGUUUGAUCCUGGCUCAGAUUGAACGCUGGCGGCAUGCCUUACACAUGCAAGUCGAACGGUAGAGGGGCAACCCUUGAGAGUGGCGAACGGGUGAGUAAUAUAUCGGAACGUGCCCAGUCGUGGGGGAUAACGCAGCGAAAGCUGCGCUAAUACCGCAUACGAUCUAUGGAUGAAAGCGGGGGAUCGCAAGACCUCGCGCGAUUGGAGCGGCCGAUAUCAGAUUAGGUAGUUGGUGGGGUAAAAGCCCACCAAGCCGACGAUCUGUAGCUGGUCUGAGAGGACGACCAGCCACACUGGGACUGAGACACGGCCCAGACUCCUACGGGAGGCAGCAGUGGGGAAUUUUGGACAAUGGGCGCAAGCCUGAUCCAGCAAUGCCGCGUGCAGGACGAAGGCCUUCGGGUUGUAAACUGCUUUUGUACGGAGCGAAACGGUCUGGGUUAAUACCCUGGGUUAAUGACGGUGCCGUAAGAAUAAGCACCGGCUAAGUACGUGCCAGCAGCCGCGGUAANUC
rnacentral:rRNA from 1 species